rfam:Serratia fonticola strain DSM 4576, complete genome.
GUCGUCGUGAGGCGGGGUCUGAAGGAAGCGUGGAGCAAAACCAUGACCUGACGAACAGAAAUCAGAUAUGAGGCCUACCCGGCUGGCGGAGCAAGCGUUUGAUUGCAAAGGCCAUAACCAUCAAGAGUCGGGGGGGUAGAUCUGGCAGGUGUGUGGUGAAAGCGGCUGAGC